rnacentral:lncRNA from 1 species
UUUUUUUUAGUACUUUGUAUUGCUUUUUUUUUAUUUUUUUAUUUUUUAUACUUUAGUGAUUGCUUUGCUUUAUUUAGUUUUUUGAGUAUCAUAGCCAAAUUUGAAUUUAACAAUUCAUGUCCUUCAUUAAGAUUGGGACGCCAACAGUUUCAUAGGAAGUGGAAGACUCUAAAUAUUAAGGGGGCGUUUGGUACCUUAUUUAAAUAAGGAACUCAAAAACUUUGAUUUUUCUUAAAAACAAGGAGUUCUUAAAUCUAUUUUUAAGAUUCAAAAACUUGUUUGGUAUGCAACUUAAAAACUG